AACGCGUGAUACCUACCCCCGGGACCGGGAUAGCGGCGGGAAACUGCCGGUAAUACCGGACAACCUCCCUGGACCAAAGGUGCGAUUCCGCCUGGGGAUGGGUCCGCGUCCUAUUAGCUUGUUGGUGGGGUAAUGGCCUACCAAGGCGAAGAUGGGUAGCGAGUGUGAGAGCAUGGCCCGCCUCACUGGGACUGAGACACUGCCCAGACACCUACGGGUGGCUGCAGUCGAGGAUCUUCCGCAAUGGGCGCAAGCCUGACGGAGCGACGCCGCGUGCGGGAUGAAGGCCUUCGGGUUGUAAACCGCUGUCAGAGGGGAACAAAUCCAUGAGGGUUCUCUCUCAUGGUUGAGUGAUCCUCAGAGGAAGCGCAGGCUAAGUUCGUGCCAGCAGCCGCGGUAACACGAACUGCGCGAACGUUAUUCGGAAUCACUGGGCUUAAAGAGUUCGUAGGCGGCCUUGCAGGUGGGGUGUGGAAGCCCUCGGCUCAACCGAGGAAUUGCGCUCCAUACCGUAAGGCUUGAGGGAGAUAGAGGUGAGCGGAACUGAUGGUGGAGCGGUGAAAUGCGUUGAUAUCAUCAGGAACACCGGUG
rnacentral:rRNA from 1 species